GCUGGCGAUGCCGAGAGAGGGAAGGCAGCCGUAGGAUUGGCUCCCAGCCCGAGAGGAAGAGAGGAGGGUGAAGAUAGUGGCAAUGUGAGAGGGAGAGAGAAAGAUAAUGGCUGAGGAGGUGGUUGGUCGGCUGGAGCUCGGCUGGAGGUGGCCAGGAAGCGUGCGGCGCACGUAGGUGAGGGAGGAGGGGCGACUGGGAGUU
rnacentral:lncRNA from 1 species